rnacentral:rRNA from 1 species
UACGUAGUGGGCAAGCGUUAUCCGGAUUUACUGGGUGUAAAGGGAGCGUAGACGGCAGCGCAAGUCUGGAGUGAAAUGCCGGGGCCCAACCCCGGAACUGCUCUGGAACCUGUGAAGCUGGAGUGCAGGAGAGGUAAGCGGAAUUCCUGGUGUAGCGGUGAAAUGCGUAGAUAUCAGGAGGAACACCGGCGGCGAAGGCGGCUUACUGGACUAUAACUGACGUUGAGGCUCGAAGGCGUGGGGAGCAAACA